GAUGAACGCUGGCGGCGUGCCUAAUACAUGCAAGUCGAGCGAACGGACGAGAAGCUUGCUUCUCUGAUGUUAGCGGCGGACGGGUGAGUAACACGUGGAUAACCUACCUAUAAGACUGGGAUAACUUCGGGAAACCGGAGCUAAUACCGGAUGAUAUUUUGAACCGCAUGGUUCAAAAGUGAAAGACGGUCUUGAUGUCACUUAUAGAUGGAUCCGCGCUGCAUUAGCUAGUUGGUAAGGUAACGGCUUACCAAGGCAACGAUGCAUAGCCGACCUGAGAGGGUGAUCGGCCACACUGGAACUGAGACACGGUCCAGACUCCUACGGGAGGCAGCAGUAGGGAAUCUUCCGCAAUGGCGAAAGCCUGACGGAGCAACGCCGCGUGAGUGAUGAAGGUCUUCGGAUCGUAAAACUCUGUUAUUAGGGAAGAACAUAUGUGUAAGUAACUGUGCACAUCUUGACGGUACCUAAUCAGAAAGCCACGGCUAACUACGUG
rnacentral:rRNA from 1 species